rnacentral:lncRNA from 1 species
CAUUGAAUGGAAACUGCUGGGACCAACACCAGCGAUGACAAUGGACAGAGGCAGUUCCAUGGCUUUGUGGACUUCAGGCAGUAAUUCAUCUAAAUCAUUCACUAUGCCAUCCAGUAAUAUUAAAACGGUCACGUAGCAUUGAGAGGACUGGCUCAAGACAGGCACGUGAUCGCGCAGAAUUCGACGAAGGACUGGUGCCAAGAAUGUUGGUCCUGCAAACGUGAGGGUUUGAAUACGGUGUAGAUAUGCCUCGAUGAUUC